rnacentral:rRNA from 1 species
CAGUCGCCACGGUAAUACGGAGGGUGCAAGCGUUAAUCGGAAUUACUGGGCGUAAAGCGCACGCAGGCGGUCUGACAAGUCAGAUGUGAAAUCCCCGGGCUUAACCUGGGAACUGCAUUUGAAACUGUCAGGCUGGAGUCUUGUAGAGGGGGGUGGAAUUCCAGGUGUAGCGGUGAAAUGCGUAGAGAUCUGGAGGAAUACCGGUGGCGAAGGCGGCCCCCUGGACAAAGACUGACGCUCAGGUGCGAAAGCGUGGGGAGCAAACAGGAUUAGAUACCCCGGUAGUCCCUGUCUCUUAACA